rnacentral:piRNA from 2 species
UGAAAUGACCCACAUGGAAGGAGCAG